rnacentral:rRNA from 1 species
GAUGAACGCUGGCGGCGUGCCUAAUACAUGCAAGUCGAGCGAACGGACGAGAAGCUUGCUUCUCUGAUGUUAGCGGCGGACGGGUGAGUAACACGUGGAUAACCUACCUAUAAGACUGGGAUAACUUCGGAAAACCGGUGCUAAUACUGGAUAAUAUUUUGAACGGCUUGGUUCAAAAGUUAAAGACGGCUUUCCUGACACUUAUAGCUGGUUCCGCGCUGAAUUAGUUAGUUGGUAAGGUAACGGCUUACCAAGGCAACGAUGCAUAGCCGACCUGAGAGGGUGAUCGGCCACACUGGAACUGAGACACGGUCCAGACUCCUACGGGAGGCAGCAGUAGGGAAUCUUCCGCAAUGGGCGAAAGCCUGACGGAGCAACGCCGCGUGAGUGAUGAAGGUCUUCGGAUCGUAAAACUCUGUUAUUAGGGAAGAACAUAUGUGUAAGUAACUGUGCACAUCUUGACGGUACCUAAUCAGAAAGCCACGGCUAACUACGUG